AAGUUCUCCUUUAAGAAAAGGAACUGCUCCUUAUGCAUAUUUAACGCCGGGUGUCUGCAGUGCCCAGAUGACGCGGGGCUGGAGGCUCGCAGGCAGGACCUGAGUUGUAGGGGAAGUAAAGGAGCCACCCUUCACCCGCACCCUCUCGCUGGGAGCCCCUUGCUCUGAACCCAUGCUCCCUCUGAGGAAAGACCAAUUCUGCUGGCACCCCGUGUCUGGGCUUUGGAAGGCAUGGCAGAGCAGCUGGAUCUGAAAGCACCAUCCCCAUAGGCAGAAAUCCUCCUCUACACCACGCGCCUUGCAAGGAAGGCAACGAGGGGACACGUGGAGAGCCCAAACGUCUGGCAUCGAGGAGCAGAGAUCCACCUCGCACUGCCCUGAAGGAAAGUUUGUUCCCAAACUGAUUACGCUGUGGCGUUCGGUGCUGGUGUCAAAUCGGUUCAAGCCAUCCCAAGUGUAAAAUAAAGAUCUCCGCUUGGGUACGCCCGUCGUGCCAGUGAGCGUGUCUUGCUAACCCUCCUGUGUUUGCCUUGAAGGUAUUGAGCUGAUGCAGCGCUGUCUUUUCACCCCACCGACGUGCGCAAUAGGAACAAUUCAGGAAAGUUAUGUUUAGCUUUUUUUUUUUUUUUUUUUUUUUGCCCUUGCAGCUGAAGAAAUGCAAGCUAUCAGAAACAAGCCUAUGUUUGAAGUCCUCCUAGGAUGAGGUCAUUCCACAAGAUCUGGCUGCAUCGAACGCCAAGAUCUUAUCUCCGCCGAUCUAAGGAGCAACACAGACGACAAGCUAGCAGAAGUGGAAAGAAAUUUGGGAGACAAACAUUCAACAAGGUGCCCCCGGAGGCCCCUCUGCCGCCCUCCCCAGCCCAAGCACCCACUCGCUCCUUGCACGAGCUGCACCCCGCAGCGUGGGGCUGAGCCCUCCUGCUGCACCUUGAAGUUUUUCCCCCCUUUUUCUUCCUUUUUGCACCGAUGCUCGCCUCCCUAACGCGCUGGUGGGCUGCAGCUUAAUACAUAUAUGCAUUUUUCCCCCGUGGCUCCGAAAGUCUUGAUGUUUUUUUGAUUUCAGCAAACCGAAAACGGAAGGGGGGGGGAGAGAUGAUGCUCGGCUGAGGGACUCCGAAAGGUUUCGCUUUCCAGCUAUCAGCAGCACCAGGAGACAGCUCCAUUAAAAAAAAAGUAGUUUUCCACUGCUCUUGAAAAGCCGUUAUUUUUUACAUCGCUUUUAGGGAGAUAGAUUAACAAAACAUCACAUUUCAAGCCACUCUGAUCUGUAAUUAAACGGGGGAGCCGGUUUGUAUUCUCCUAUGGCUUUUACAGAAGUUGCAGUGAUCCAAAGUCAGGUUGCUGUGUCAGAGUGGCAUUUUUAUUAAUGAGAAUACAAAAAGCUUGCAUAUUCUUAGCCCGGCUUGAAUUUAGUUGCUAAGCAACCGCUGUAUGGUAAUUCAUCCGCGAAAUUUAAAUCGGGGAGAAAGGAUCGUGCGGUUUUUUGCUCAAUGGGCGCCACGAGGAACACAACUUGUGGGACCCGCAGCAGCCGCAGCCGCCACCGAGCCGCCCGCCCGCCGCACCCCGGCACGGCCCCGGACC